CUUGGAGUGAAACAGGCAGCAGACUGGAGCCCAGGAAGAGACUGGGCAGAGUGUGGCUGGGAGCCUGUACAGCUGCUCAGUUAUAGGAUGAAGAAGAGGACUUUGCACUGGUACCUAUUGAAGCUUACUAUCUCUCUACCUGCUGCAUGUGGUAUGAGAUGUGAACUCUCAGCUGCUCCUGCUGUCACGCCAGCCUGCUGUCAUGCUUUCCCACCAUCUGGAGAUGGACUCUGAUUCCUCUGGAAUAGGCACACAAAGGAUAGUUUAAACAUUCAACCAGAUAACAGAAUAACAGCAGCGAGCCGAAAUGAGCAACCUGAAGUAAACCCACUCUUAUCCAAGACACCUGGGAGGAGCACACAACCACAUUCCAAGAACAGUCUGGUGUUUUGAAGAAAUGGAGGUCACAAGACUCUUGUCCUGUUUUCUUGGAGUGCUCUCAUAAGCACUCAGAAGUCUCUUCACCAGACUCCAUUCCUGGACCAUAUUCCUAGUGGGUAGGUCUUCCUCCCGCUAUGCCCAGAGGCCCACAUUCCAAGUAAUUUUGAUUCUGUCAAGCUGGUAAUUACCACUAACCACUGCAGUUAAUAAAGGAACAGUUUAAGAACCCAA
rnacentral:lncRNA from 1 species